GCUUGCUAGCUCACUAGCAAUGUUGGGCCACACUCUGGGGGGAUAAACGGGCACAGCACUAUUGAUUUUCAUGGCAUUUAAAACAUUUGCACCCACAAAGAAUUUGGCCCAUUAAUUUUAACAUGGUGUAAGUGAAGGUGCCCACAAGAAUUGACAAGCGAAGCUGGUGGCGCUCGCUAUCCUUUUCUGAAGGAAGAUUUUCGGUUGGAUGCAGCAGGAGCAGAAAACAUAUUGCACUCAGCUGAGGCCUUUAUCUGAUGGUCAUCCCACCUGAGAUUUGUCACUAUGGAAACAGCAAGCAGUGAAACAAACCAGUCUGCCAGCAGAUUAGGGUCAGCAGACCUGCAAUGGGAUCAGUCCACUUGAGUAUUGCCCCCACGCACCUGAGCCAGUGUCUCUGAAUUCCCAUACCUUUGUCAGAGAAGGUGAAUGGACCACAGUUGUACUGGGACAGAGGACAAUCUCGCAUCAGCAGCAGAGAUCUUUCAGAAUGUCAUUGAAAGUCAGCAAUCAGGAAUCCAUGGAGUACUGAAUGUCCCUGAGGAUAUUGUGGUGCAUGGAGAAACACAAGAUAAACUUGCUGCCAAGCUAGCAUCUGUACUCCAAAGGCUGCAAGAAAAGAAUCUAACUUAGGGAGAAGCAAAUUAUAAAUUACAGAGGGUU